UAUUUUUUCUAUUUACAAAACUUAUAUAUUUUUGACCCUAUUUCAGUGACAAACGCCUUGCCUGCUGCAUCUAUGGGAAAUUUGCUGAAACUUUGAUAGAGGAAAAAAGACAACCAAACAAUGGAGAUAUUUGUUUAAUCAGAUAUGCUAAGUUGCCAGAAGACAAUGACGAGUUUCAAAUCAUAAAUGCAUUUGAUACUUCCUUGGUGAUGAUAAACCCAGCUAUCGACGAAGCUGACGGACUUAAGCAGAUGUGAGUUCACAUUAUUCUAAACUAAAUAUGUUAUAUAAUGAAUUACAAAAUCAGAUUUAUUCUUUUUUUUGAGUUAAGCUUUCGUGGAGGUGAUAACUCUAUGGAUAUGUACCAAAAUAUUGGAAAGAUUGUGAACCAACCAAAUCGCCAGAAAUGGUCAACCUUUCCUUUCAAAACCAUUCAAGAGAUGAAACACACAGAUAAGGUUAUCACCUUCAUUUUGCUCAAAAUAUAUAUUUUGAAAUAAUUUACUCACAAAUGUAUACUGUUUUUGUUGCUUUGUAGUAUGAAAAAUGCAGAGUAAUCUGCACAGUUUAUGCUAUUGACACAAUGAGUGGUUGGUAUUAUUGUGCUUGUGUGGUCUGCAAAAAGAAAGUUUUGAAAACAAGGAUUGUCUUUGACGAGCACGAUUCUCCAACUUGGUUUUGUGACUAUUGCCACAUGACUGUUUCGAAAGUUAUUCCCAGGUCAUUUAUUAUAAAUCAAAACAUUUAAUUAAUAUGUUUAUUUUAAGAAAAUAACUAACCCUUUUUAAAUUGUUACAAAACGGUAUCUUUUUCAGGUACAAACUAGAUUUGCUUGUGCAAGAUCAAACAGGCGAAUCUAAAUUCACACUUCUAGACCCAGUUGCUACAUCUAUCGUGAAAACUUCUGCAGCAAAAAUCGCUAAUGUUUUGUUGGAUGUAAGUUUUAUUCCUUAUUUUAAAUAACUUGUGUAUUACUAUUUGAUUUUUAAGUUAGUAUAUAAUAUUUAUGUUUUUUUUUAUUAACAGAAUGGAGAUCAAGAUAUGUUACCAGCUGAACUUGUGGAGGUCGUUGGCAAAACUUUUGGAUUUGGUAUCUCCAUUGAUGAUACAGAAAAAUUCAAUGCCAUCAAGGUUUGGAGUCUGGAUGAUAUUAUGUGGAAGAGAAUCAAAUCACUGCACCAGUUGUCAACUAAGCGCAAAGAAAAACAAAUUAACUGUGAUGAAGCCCAAGAGAACCAUAGUGGCUGAUUGGAAAAAAGAAUUUCAUGAAUUUCGUUUUUUUUUGUUUUAUUGGUUUAAUGCUUUCCUUUGUUGCUUUUUAAUGUUUUUUUAUUAUUUCAUUAUUUCUUGGUGUUAACUGGUUUUCCGUUAUGAAUAAAAAUUAGAUUGCGUUUUAAA